GAAAUAGCUAUGAUCUAAUAACAUUAAUUGACUCUCGUUGAACUCGUAAAUGGUUGAUUGCAUUAGAUCAUUCCAAUCAUGAAUUCUGCAUCUUAUAAAUCAUAUUUGUGUCUAAAGGAUCUACAAAUAAAAAUAAUAAGAACGUCACGAUGAUACUUACGGUGCUAAGGACGAAGGAGGAUAAACUAGUUCGCCCGAGACGAGCGUAUCAAUUUGCAACAAAGGUAUCCGAUUGUACUCUAAUAUCUUUAAGGAAAUGAAGUCAUACUUUAUCGAAUAAAUAGCUUUUUUUGAAAGUA